ensembl:miRNA
GUUGGUGCAAAAGUAAUUGCAGUUUUUGUAUUACUUGUAACAGUAAAAACUGCAAUUACUUUU